rnacentral:misc_RNA from 1 species
AAGUCGUAACAAGGUUUCCGUAGGUGAACCUGCGAAAGGAUCAUUAACACGUUUCCAAACGUUUUAACUACCAAACAACUGCGUGAACUGUACCCUCCCUACCAUUCUCUAUGCGUCAACUGCAUUAACACUCAUUGUGGAUCGAUUGUGUGUACCUCGGUACGCCUUCGGAGUGGCGUUGACUGGCAGGCCGUUGAUUCAGCACAUAGGUUAUGAUUAGGCUAUUUUUCAUUCCACAGCAAUAUUUACCCCUACUUAUAUCGUCGCUAGCCGACGUGACUUUUGACUAAUGCUAACCUAUGUUGGGCAUUGAGCCUUCGGGUGAUGUGUUCCAGCCUUAGGUUGAGUUAUGUAUAUAACAAAGCACAACUCUUAGCAACGGAUAUCUUGGUUCUC